GAGCGAUGGCAGAGCGGUCGAACGCGGCGGUCUUGAAAACCGUUAUACCUCUUUGGUAUCGGGGGUUCAAAUCCCUCUCGCUCC
rnacentral:tRNA from 1 species